rnacentral:rRNA from 1 species
AAUGAACGUUGGCGGCAUGGAUUAGGCAUGCAAGUCGAGCGAGAAGUGUAGCAAUACACGGAAAGCGGCGGAAGGGAGAGUAAUACGUGGGAAUCUGCCCUUAGACCUGGGAUAGCAGCGGGAAACUGCUGGUAAUACCAGAUAAUGUCUAUGGACCAAAGGUGUGAUUCCGUCUAGGGAUGAGCCCACGUCCUAUUAGCUAGUUGGUAGGGUAAUGGCCUACCAAGGCGAUGAUGGGUAGCGGGUGUGAGGGCAUGACCCGCCUCACUGGGACUGAGACACUGCCCAGACACCUACGGGUGGCUGCAGUCGAGAAUCUUCGGCAAUGGGCGCAAGCCUGACCGAGCGAUGCCGCGUGCGGGAUGAAGGCCUUCGGGUUGUAAACCGCUGUCGAGGGGGAGCAACUUCCAUAGAGUUAUCUUUAUGGAUUGAGUGAUCCCUGGAGGAAGGACGGGCUAAGUUCGUGCCAGCCGCCGCCGUAA